rnacentral:rRNA from 1 species
GAAACCGAGUCUUAAUUGGGCGUUAAGUUGCAGGGUAUAGACCCGAAACCCGGUGAUCUAGCCAUGGGCAGGUUGAAGGUUGGGUAACACUAACUGGAGGACCGAACCGACUAAUGUUGAAAAAUUAGCGGAUGACCUGUGGCUGGGGGUGAAAGGCCAAUCAAACCGGGAGAUAGCUGGUUCUCCCCGAAAGCUAUUUAGGUAGCGCCUCGUGAAUUCAUCUCCGGGGGUAGAGCACUGUUUCGGCUAGGGGGCCAUCCCGGCUUACCAACCCGAUGCAAACUGCGAAUACCGGAGAAUGUUAUCACGGGAGACACACGGCGGGUGCUAACGUCCGUCGUGAAGAGGGAAACAACCCAGACCGCCAGCUAAGGUCCCAAAGUCAUGGUUAAGUGGGAAACGAUGUGGGAAGGCCCAGACAGCCAGGAUGUUGGCUUAGAAGCAGCCAUCAUUUAAAGAAAGCGUAAUAGCUCACUGGUCGAGUCGGCCUGCGCGGAAGAUGUAACGGGGCUAAACCAUGCACCGAAGCUGCGGCAGCGAACGUAUCACCCAAGACAACUUUACGGAGUUGACGAUUGACGGAGCGAAGCGACGUCAAAGCGUUCAUUAAAGUCGAGUUGGCUUAGGGAUACGUUCGUUGGGUAGGGGAGCGUUCUGUAAGCCUGUGAAGGUGUGUCGUGAGGCAUGCUGGAGGUAUCAGAAGUGCGAAUGCUGACAUAAGUAACGAUAAAGCGGGUGAAAAGCCCGCUCGCCGGAAGACCAAGGGUUCCUGUCCAACGUUAAUCGGGGCAGGGUGAGUCGACCCCUAAGGCGAGGCCGAAAGGCGUAGUCGAUGGGAAACGGGUUAAUAUUCCCGUACUUGGUGUUACUGCGAAGGGGGGACGGAGAAGGCUAUGUUGGCCGGGCGACGGUUGUCCCGGUUUAAGCGUGUAGGUGUGUGUUCCAGGUAAAUCCGGUUCACUUUAACACUGAGGCGUGACGACGAGGCACUACGGUGCUGAAGCAACAAAUGCCCUGCUUCCAGGAAAAGCCUCUAAGCAUCAGGUAACACGAAAUCGUACCCCAAACCGACACAGGUGGUCAGGUAGAGAAUACCAAGGCGCUUGAGAGAACUCGGGUGAAGGAACUAGGCAAAAUGGUGCCGUAACUUCGGGAGAAGGCACGCUGACACGUAGGUGAAGUGAUUUACUCAUGGAGCUGAAGUCAGUCGAAGAUACCAGCUGGCUGCAACUGUUUAUUAAAAACACAGCACUGUGCAAACACGAAAGUGGACGUAUACGGUGUGACGCCUGCCCGGUGCCGGAAGGUUAAUUGAUGGGGUCAGCGUAAGCGAAGCUCCUGAUCGAAGCCCCGGUAAACGGCGGCCGUAACUAUAACGGUCCUAAGGUAGCGAAAUUCCUUGUCGGGUAAGUUCCGACCUGCACGAAUGGCGUAAUGAUGGCCAGGCUGUCUCCACCCGAGACUCAGUGAAAUUGAACUCGCUGUGAAGAUGCAGUGUACCCGCGGCAAGACGGAAAGACCCCGUGAACCUUUACUAUAGCUUGACACUGAACAUUGAGCCUUGAUGUGUAGGAUAGGUGGGAGGCUUUGAAGUGUGGACGCCAGUCUGCAUGGAGCCGACCUUGAAAUACCACCCUUUAAUGUUUGAUGUUCUAACGUGGACCCGUAAUCCGGGUUGCGGACAGUGUCUGGUGGGUAGUUUGACUGGGGCGGUCUCCUCCUAAAGAGUAACGGAGGAGCACGAAGGUUGGCUAAUCCUGGUCGGACAUCAGGAGGUUAGUGCAAUGGCAUAAGCCAGCUUGACUGCGAGCGUGACGGCGCGAGCAGGUGCGAAAGCAGGUCAUAGUGAUCCGGUGGUUCUGAAUGGAAGGGCCAUCGCUCAACGGAUAAAAGGUACUCCGGGGAUAACAGGCUGAUACCGCCCAAGAGUUCAUAUCGACGGCGGUGUUUGGCACCUCGAUGUCGGCUCAUCACAUCCUGGGGCUGAAGUAGGUCCCAAGGGUAUGGCUGUUCGCCAUUUAAAGUGGUACGCGAGCUGGGUUUAGAACGUCGUGAGACAGUUCGGUCCCUAUCUGCCGUGGGCGCUGGAGAACUGAGGGGGGCUGCUCCUAGUACGAGAGGACCGGAGUGGACGCAUCACUGGUGUUCGGGUUGUCAUGCCAAUGGCACUGCCCGGUAGCUAAAUGCGGAAGAGAUAAGUGCUGAAAGCAUCUAAGCACGAAACUUGCCCCGAGAUGAGUUCUCCCUGAGACUUAGAGUCUCCUGA